rnacentral:tRNA from 1 species
GGGGUUGUGGCUUAGCGGUAGAGCGCUUGCCUAGUACAUGAGAGGCACUGAGUUCGAGCCUCAGCACCA